rnacentral:rRNA from 1 species
GACGAACGCUGGCGGCGUGCUUAACACAUGCAAGUCGAACGGUGAAGCGCUUGCCUUUUUGGUGGGUGUGGAUGAGUGGCGAACGGGUGAGUAACACGUGAGUAACCUGCCCUCUUCUUCUGGAUAACCUCAUGAAAGUGGGGCUAAUACGGGGUAUUCCGGGUCUGUCGCAUGGCGGGUUUGGGAAAGAUUGCGCCUUUGGGUGUUUUCGGUGGGGGAUGGGCUCGCGGCCUAUCAGCUUGUUGGUGGGGUGAUGGCCUACCAAGGCGGUGACGGGUAGCCGGCCUGAGAGGGUGGACGGCCACACUGGGACUGAGACACGGCCCAGACUCCUGCGGGAGGCAGCAGUGGGGAAUAUUGCACAAUGGGCGCAAGCCUGAUGCAGCGACGCCGCGUGAGGGAUGGAGGCCUUCGGGUUGUGAACCUCUUUCGCCAGUGAAGCAGGCCUGCUCCUGUGUGGGUGGGUUGACGGUAGCUGGAUAAGAAGCGCCGGCUAACUACGUG